rnacentral:rRNA from 1 species
GACGAACGCUGGCGGCGUGCCUAAUACAUGCAAGUAGGACGCAGUUGCGAACGGGUGAGUAACGCGUAGGUAACUACCUACUAGAGGGGGAUAACUAUUGGAAACGAUAGUUAAUAUCGCAUACUCGUUGAUUGACCUGCGUUGUAUUAGCUAGUAGGUAGGGUAAUGGCCUACCUAGGCAACGAUACAUAGCCGAACUGAGAGGGUGAUCGGCCACACGGGGAAUGGAACACGGCCCAGACUCCGAAGGGAGGCAGCAGUAGGGAAUCUUCGGCAAUGGGGGGAACCCUGACCGAGCAACGCCGCGUGAGGGAAGAAGGUUUUCGGAUCGUAAAGCUCUGUUGUUAAGGAAGCGGUACUUAACCAGAAAGGGACGGCUAACUACGUGCCAGCAGCCGCGGUAAUUC